rnacentral:lncRNA from 10 species
UCACUGCAACCUCUGCCUUCCAGGUUCAAGCAAUUCUCCUGCCUCAGCCUCCCAAGUAGCUGGGAUUACAGGCAUGCACUGCCACACCCAGCUAAUUUUUGUAUUUUUAGUAGAGAUGGGGUUUCACUAUAUAUUGGCCAGGCUGGUCUCGAACUCCUGACCUCAGGUGAUCCAUCUGCCUUGGUCUCCCAAAGUGCUGAGAUUACAGGCAUGAGCCACCAGACUCAGCCGGGAUGUCACUUCUGAGAGUAGGUUACGAAAGGACCCUGGCUUCCCUCCUGCUUGCCUCCUCUGGCUUGCUGGCUCUGACGAAGCCUCCCACCACUGUAUGAGCUGCCCUAUGAAGACACCCACAUGGCCAGGAACAUGAGAGAUGCCUUGGCCAACAGCUGUCGAGGAGCUAAGCCCCUCAGCCCAACAGGCCAUGAGGAACAGAAUCCUGCCAGCAUUCAGUUAUUUUCUCUUUGGCCUGGGGCCCUUGACAUACCCCUGUUUGGCUCGGAUAGAAGCAGAAAUACUAACACAGGCCGGGCUCCGGGUUGUUGGCCUCCACAAGACAGGCAGUUGAGUGUGAUGGUGAAGAGCCCUGGACUUUGGUUCAAAUCCUGCCUCCACUGCACAUGAGCUCUGCCCUUGUGCAAGUUUUCUAGCUUCUCUGAGUCUCAGCUUCUCCAUCUGUGAGGCACAAUAAGAAGUCACUGCAUCAUAAGACUGUUGGGAGGAUUUAGAGAAUAUAUAAAGGGCCUGGCCUAUGCCUGGAAUGUUGUUAAGUGAUCUGCAUAUAUGUUUGUUGUUGUUGUUGUUAUUCUCUGUCUCCCACUGCCCCUGGACAUAACCUCAGUGUGGGGUUCUGCUCAUUGCUCUAUUGCCAGCUCAGAGCCUGGCAUAUAGUGCAGUACGGUACAGGGUGCAGGUGGGGGUGUCAAUAAAUACUUCCUGAAAGAAAGAAAGAAAGAAAGAAAGAAAGAAAGAAAGAAAGAAAGAAGAAAGAAAGAAUGAAUGAAUGAAUAACUUGAAGUAAAAACUAAGAACACUGGCUUUGGCCAGAUGUUGUGGCUCAUGCCUCUAAUUCCAACAUCUUGGGAGGCUAAGGUAGGAGGAUCUCUUGAGGGCAGGAGUUCAAGACUAGCCUGGGCAACAUAGCAACAUUCUGUCUCUAUUGAUUUAUGUAUUGUUUUGUUUUUGUUGUUGUUGUUGUUUAAGGCAGGGUCUCACUCUGUCUCCCAGGCUGCAGUGCAGUGGCACAAUCACUGCUCACUGCAGCCUCAACCUCCUGAGCUCAGGUGAUUCUCCCACCUCAGC